rnacentral:rRNA from 1 species
UACAGGGGGUGCAAACGUUGCUCGGAAUUAUUGGGCGUAAAGCGCGCGUAGGCGGCUACUUAAGUCGGAUGUGAAAGCCCCUGGCUCAACUGGGGAAGUGCACCCGAAACUGAGUAGCUAGAGUGCGAAAGAGGGUCGCGGAAUUCCCGGUGUAGAGGUGAAAUUCGUAGAUAUCGGGAGGAACACCGGUGGCGAAGGCGGCGACCUGGGUCGACACUGACGCUGAGGCGCGAAAGCGUGGGGAGCAAACAGG